GACAGAGGGUGCAAACGUCAUUCGGAAUUACUGGGCUUAAAGGGUUUGUAGGCGGCCUUGUAAGUCAGGUGUGAAAGCCCUCGGCUCAACCGAGGAACAGCGCUUGAUACUGCAAGGCUUGAGGGAGACAGGGGUAAGCGGAACUGAUGGUGGAGCGGUGAAAUGCGUUGAUAUCAUCAGGAACACCGGUGGCGAAAGCGGCUUACUGGGUCUCUUCUGACGCUGAGGAACGAAAGCUAGGGUAGCGAACGGG
rnacentral:rRNA from 1 species